rnacentral:misc_RNA from 1 species
GCCAGUUAUUCAUUUUCAUCAAAAUUCUGACACAUUAGAAAUGAUAGAAGGAAGAGAACUAAAACUGUUUUAGACGUAUUCCAUGCAUCCAGGAUUGUUAUCUAUGGGGUUCCUCAGUUCUCCCGAUCUACAAAACCGAACAAGGGACAAUCACAAAACCCUCUACUUUUUCUUCUUCGAUUUGAUCGACUGGGAUUGAGUAUAUGCAGUUCCCGCCAACCACUCAUCCAUGUUAGCAUCAACUGCCCGGGUUCCAACUUCAACCUUGGGAGCCUUCUUGGUUUUCUUUGAGUAGUUCUGCAGCUGACUGUUUCCCCA